GCUUAAGGCCAUACCACACUGAACACGGCUGAUCUUGUCUGAUCUUGAAAGCUUAGCAGGGUCGGGCCUGGUUAGUACUGGGAUGGGAGACCACCUGGAAAUACUGUACGGGCAGCA
rnacentral:rRNA from 1 species